UACACGACCGUACCGCAAACCGACACUGGUGCGCGAGAUGAGUAUUCUAAGGCGCUUGAGAGAACUCAGGAGAAGGAACUCGGCAAAUUGACACCGUAACUUCGGAAGAAGGUGUGCCUUUAGUAGGUGAACCAUUUACUUGGGGAGCCCAAUGAGGCUGCAAAAAAUCGGUGGCUGCAACUGUUUAUUAAAAACACAGCACUCUGCUAAGACGAAAGUCGACGUAUAGGGUGUGACGCCUGCCCGGUGCUGGAAGAUUAAAUGAUGGGGUGCAAGCUCUUGAUUGAAGUCCCAGUAAACGGCGGCCGUAACUAUAACGGUCCUAAGGUAGCGAAAUUCCUUGUCGGGUAAGUUCCGACCUGCACGAAUGGCGUAAUGAUGGCCACACUGUCUCCUCCUGAGACUCAGCGAAGUUGAAAUGUUUGUGAUGAUGCAAUCUCCCCGCGGAAAGACGGAAAGACCCCAUGAACCUUUACUGUAGCUUUGUAUUGGACUUUGAACAGAUCUGUGCAGGAUAGGUGGGAGGCUUUGAAGUGUGGUCGCUAGAUCGCAUGGAGCCAACGUUGAAAUACCACCCUGGUGUGUUUGAGGUUCUAACCUAGGUCCAUUAUCUGGAUCGGGGACAGUGCAUGGUAGGCAGUUUGACUGGGGCGGUCUCCUCCCAAAGUGUAACGGAGGAGUUCGAAGGUACGCUAGGUACGGUCGGACAUCGUGCUAAUAGUGCAAUGGCAUAAGCGUGCUUAACUGCGAGACUGACAAGUCGAGCAGAUGCGAAAGCAGGACAUAGUGAUCCGGUGGUUCUGUAUGGAAGGGCCAUCGCUCAACGGAUAAAAGGUACUCUGGGGAUAACAGGCUGAUACCGCCCAAGAGUUCAUAUCGACGGCGGUGUUUGGCACCUCGAUGUCGGCUCAUCUCAUCCUGGGGCUGUAGCCGGUCCCAAGGGUAUGGCUGUUCGCCAUUUAAAGAGGUACGUGAGCUGGGUUUAAAACGUCGUGAGACAGUUUGGUCCCUAUCUUCCGUGGGCGCUGCAGAUUUGAGGAAGCCUGCUCCUAGUACGAGAGGACCGGAGUGGACGAACCUCUGGUGUAUCGGUUGUCACGCCAGUGGCAUUGCCGAGUAGCUAAGUUCGGAAGAGAUAACCGCUGAAAGCAUCUAAGCGGGAAACUCGUUUCAAGAUUAGAUCUGCCGGGGCCUUGAGCCCCCUAAAGAGUCGUUCAAGACCAGGACGUUGAUAGGUCAGGUGUGGAAGUG
rnacentral:rRNA from 1 species